AGAGAUUGGAAUGCAGCCAAGGAUGACUUGCCGGCACCAAUAUAAUGCUCGAGGGUUCGGGAAAGUUCCUGCAUCAGGGUUAUUACCAACAGCUGCUGGGAUGUGUGCGUGUCCUGCUUUCCAAUCAUGCAGGCCCCACAGAUCCUUUGGUGGGUAUGCUGGUGACCCUGUUUCAGGAACGAAAGCAUCGAGCCGGCAAGUUGUUCUUGGCUACAUUUGUCUCUCU
rnacentral:pre_miRNA from 1 species